GUUCCUCUGUGAAUCGGAGCCAUGGAAGCGAUACUGGUAGACUGUGUAAACAACAGUCUCAGGCAUUUCAUGUACCGAAACGCCAUUUUUAUGUGCGAGCGUCUAUGUGCCGAGUUCCCUUCUGAGACAAAUUUACAGUUGUUAGCUGGAUGCUAUUUGCAAAAUAAUCAAGCUUACUCCGCAUAUCAUAUUCUAAAAGGCACACAAAUGGCUCAAUCCCGCUACUUGUUUGCAAUAUCAUGCUUUCAGAUGGAUCUUCUAAAUGAAGCUGAAGCAGCAUUAUGUCCUGCUAAUG
rnacentral:misc_RNA from 1 species